CGGGAGGCAGCAGUAGGGAAUCUUCCGCAAUGGACGAAAGUCUGACGGAGCAACGCCGCGUGAGUGAUGAAGGCUUUCGGGUCGUAAAACUCUGUUGUUAGGGAAGAACAAGUGCUAGUUGAAUAAGCUGGCACCUUGACGGUACCUAACCAGAAAGCCACGGCUAACUACGUGCCAGCAGCCGCGGUAAUACGUAGGUGGCAAGCGUUAUCCGGAAUUAUUGGGCGUAAAGCGCGCGCAGGUGGUUUCUUAAGUCUGAUGUGAAAGCCCACGGCUCAACCGUGGAGGGUCAUUGGAAACUGGGAGACUUGAGUGCAGAAGAGGAAAGUGGAAUUCCAUGUGUAGCGGUGAAAUGCGUAGAGAUAUGGAGGAACACCAGUGGCGAANGCGACUUUCUGGUCUGUAACUGACACUGAGGCGCGAAAGCGUGGGGAGCAAACAGGAUUAGAUACCCUGGUAGUCCACGCCGUAAACGAUGAGUGCUAANUGUUAGAGGGUUUCCGCCCUUUAGUGCUGAAGUUAACGCAUUAAGCACUCCGCC
rnacentral:rRNA from 1 species